UCCUACGGGAGGCAGCAGUGGGGAAUAUUGCACAAUGGGCGAAAGCCUGAUGCAGCCAUACCGCGUGAGUGAAGAAGGCCUUCGGGUCGUAAAGCUCUUUUAUGGGGGAAGAUGAUGACGGUACCCCAUGAAUAAGCACCGGCUAACUACGUGCCAGCAGCCGCGGUAAUACGUAGGGUGCGAGCGUUGUUCGGAAUUACUGGGCGUAAAGGGCGUGCAGGCGGAUUGGCAAGCCGGAGGUGAAAGCCCGGGGCUCAACCCCGGAGGGUCUUUCGGAACUGCCAGUCUUGGGAGGGUCAGGGGCCAGCGGAAUUCCUGGUGUAGAGGUGAAAUUCGUAGAGAUCAGGAGGAACACCGGCGGCGAAAGCGGCUGGCUGGGGCCACUCUGACGCUGAGGCGCGAAAGCGUGGGGAGCAAACAGGACUAGAUACCCUGGUAGUCCACGCCGUAAACGAUGAGAACUUGACGUCGGCAUGCUCUGCGUGUCGGUGUCGUAGCUAACGCGAUAAGUUCUCCGCCUGGGGAGUACGGCCGCAAGGUUGAAACUCAAAGGAAUUGACGG
rnacentral:rRNA from 1 species